rnacentral:rRNA from 1 species
GUAGGCGGUAGAGUAAGCAAAUAGUGAAAGGAUGUGGCUCAACCACAUGAACAUUAUUUGAACUGCUCAACUAGAGAGUGGAAGAGGUAGCUGGAAUUAUCAGUGGAGGAGUAAUAUCCGUAGAUAUUAGUAGGAACACCAAUGGCGAAGGCAGGCUACUGGUCCAUUUCUGACGCUCAGGCACGAAAGCGUAGGUAGCAAACAGGAUUAGAUACCCUGGUAGUCUACGCUGUAAACGAUGGAUACUAGCAUUCGGAGGUGUCGACCCCUUCGGUAGCGAAGCUAACGCGUUAAGUAUCCCGCCUGUGUAGUACGAGCGCAAGCUUAAAACAUAAAGGAAUUGACGGGGACCCGCACAAGUGGUGGAGCGUGUUCUUUAAUACGAGGCUAAGCGUAGAACCUUACCAGGGUUUGAAAUCCCGAGAAGUCUUUCGAAAGUUAGAUGUGCCUUAUGGAACUCGGUGACAGGUGUUGCAUGGCCGUCGUCAGCUCGUGUCGUGAGAUGUUGGGUUAAGUCCCGCAACGAGCGCAACCCCUAUAUUUAGUUGUAUUUUUCUAGAUAGACUGCCUCGGUAACGGGGAGGAAGGAGGGGACGACGUCUGGUCAUUAUGGCCCUUAUACCCUGGGCUAGAAACGCGCUACAAUGGUUGGUACAAUGGGCAUCAGCCAAAUCGCGAGAUGGAGCAAAUCCCAACAAAGCCGAUCUCAGUUCGGAUAGCAGGCUGAAACUCGCCUGCUUGAAGUCGGAAUCACUAGUAACCGUAGGUCAGCACACUACGGUGAAUACGUUCCCGGGUCUUGUACACACUGCCCGUCAAGCCAUGGAAGUCACCAAUACCCGAAGUCUCACUUUAUGUGGGCCUAAGGUAGGGGGGAUAACUGGGGUU